rnacentral:rRNA from 1 species
AGGUACAAGAUUCAACCACGUUAAACGACUUCCCGAAAAGCGCGAACUUAGUGGCGCCUGAAAUUUUACCUUCGGUUGGGGCGACCACGGAGGAAAAGUAAGCCUCCGAGUGGACUGGGCCUACUCCCUAAAGCCAAAAGAUACAUCUUUAGGCCGCAGUAUAGCUGACCAAAAAUGAUCCGGCCAAAGGCCGAUCAACGGACCAAGUUACCCUAGGGAUAACAGCGCAAUCCUCUCCCAGAGCCCAUAUCGACGAGGGGGUUUACGACCUCGAUGUUGGAUCAGGACAUCCUAAUGGUGCAGCCGCUAUUAAG